GCAUGGAAUUCUUUGCAAAGGGUGAAGGAAUAUUGAGGUCACUUCCUAAAUGAAUGUAUGAUAGCACGGGAUUCCCUUUUGAAUACAAGUAUGUGCAUAAUGUAAAUAUCUUGCCAAUAUGCAUAAGUGUGAGUGAAACAAUGAAAGUUUGUAUGGUAUAUAUAUUUCAAGUGUGUGUAGGUAGUUUGUG